GUUAACUGUUACCCUGGGUGAUUAUACAACCGAAAAUGAGACCAAGACUGGCGCCAUCAAACCCAAAUUCCCCUCCGACGAUUACAUUGUAUUCUUCACUUUAUUCACUGGAUGUAUUCGCGACUUUGUCGAAGAUGUCUUGCACAUCCCGACAAAUCUGAUAUACAGGUGCUGUGCGUUUCCCUCGUUACUUCGGACAAGCUUCUUUCGGAAGAACUACCUGGGCCAGUGACGAAUGAGGGGAUGGGGGAUCUGUGCCUUGACCGAAUCGUCUGUGUUCAAUGGUGGACCAUCGCAGUGUACUUAUGGAUUACUACUGGGCUCAAUCCAUUUACAACCCUUACUGUACCAGUAUUGUAUCACAAGGUACUCAACAUGCUCCAUAACUCGUGUUUUGAUCCACAAUGUUCCUUUUGCACUCGAUGCCACCACAGAAAGAUUACAGACGAAAGGCUAUAAUGUGCUUCUUGAGACCUCAGAGCAUUCAUUCCAAAAAGGGGGGUCUCGAUUUUUUGAAAUGAAAGAAGAAAGCUGACCACUUGUCCUAAUACAUAGGGGAAAAUGUGUGCAUUGGGAAGAGAACGACCCUCAAAAGAUGCUAUAAAACAAAGAAAAUUAGCCAAAGAGAAUUGGCUCGGCCGGCUCAAGAGGUGUUUGGCUCAAAGGAGGUUGAAUUCUAGUUGAAAUACCACCUGGCAUAUCAUUAUGAGAAACUGCAGCUUAGAAUGACUUCAUAUUAUUUAUUGCCAGAACGUCUAGGAGAUCCUUGCAUACACGAACUAAAUGGACAGAAAUGGUAUGUUUCUGUAUACUGCUCUUGAUAUUUUUGCUUCAAUCGCACCGCAUUACCUAACCCUAUUCUCGCUGCAUCGAUUGGAUCAGGCACGUCACAAAUUUCCGUCAACUGAAACAGUAGAUAACGGGUAAUGAAGUAAUUCUUCGGUCUUUAGAUUCCUACUACAGUUAGUACUGGCACUGUAAUGGAAAUAGCGGACGACGCAAGUGUGCAGUCCGAAAUGGUCGGCAAAGUCGGGAAAUAAAACGGGUCAUUACUGUAAUGACUAUGACUAUACCAAGCAGAGUAAAAUAGAUUAAGGUUGAUGCAAUUGGGUGAGGGUCAGCCCACCACGAA
rnacentral:sRNA from 1 species